AUGGCAGAGCAUAAGGAUAAUGGUCAGCCGUAUUUUUCUAAAGAUAAUGGGAAAGAGAAAACAGCAAUUGUUGUUGGAAAAGUUGCAAUAUCAAAAAAUCCUUAUCUCCAUCCUGGUGACAUCGGAGUACUUGAAGCUGGACAUCACAAUGGAUUUUAUGCUAAGAACCUGGUUGAUCGUGUUGUCUUCCCUCAACGAGAAAGUUUACCUUUGUCAGGAGAAUUGGGGGAAUUGGUCGUACCAUUAAUGGUAUCUAUUGGCUCACCGUUGGUUCGCAUUGUUAACAGCCCGAGUGGCUGCUCAGUGCCUUUUGAGGCCGAGGAUAUAAGAAAGUGGAUGGGCCACUUUGAAGAAAUUCGCUAG
rnacentral:rRNA from 1 species